ACCCAGAGAGUCAAGGUGCACUGGAACGAUUUCAUCAAACCCUAAAAACCAUGUUGCGCAAAUACUGCCUUGAAUCAGGUAAAGACUGGGAGGAGGGACUUCCACUUCUGCUUUUUGCUGUUAGAGAAGCCACCCAGGAAUCCCUUGGAUUUAGUCCGGCUGACUUAGUUUUUGGACACACUGUGCGCGGUCCCCUGCGACUGCUUAAAGAAAAGUGGUUAUCAGAGUCGCAUCAAGCCGAACAUAAUGUGUUAGAUUACGUUUGCAGUUUUAGAGAGCGUCUUUUCCGGGCAUGUCAGCUGGCCCGUGAAAAUUUGGAACAAACCCAAGGCAACAUGAAAGCCCGGUGCUCCUCCGUGGUUGGUGCAUCCAGGGUGGAUGGCUCGCACCGAUUGGCUGACGACCGGGAGGCAGCGGAUGAGAAGAGACCACCAGGGACUGCCAUUCAUUCAUCCUCGGCCCAACCCAACCGGCAGACCGUUCACUGUGUCACUGUUACUAUGUUGGUUAAUGUAAGAGCAUGUAGGGGUGGACCGCCUUUUUGUUUGAUCAGUUUUCUCCUGUUUCUGUUAGGUAGGGAGGAAAGUGAUUGUCGUUUGGUUUAGUUCUUUUGAGUAGGUAAGUUGUGUUUAUUCCUGAGAUAGGCUAUCUUUUGUUUGUUGUUUUGGCCUUGGGUUCACCCUGAAGUUAUGAUAUGCUCCCUUCCUUUGUUUAACUGCACUCAUUGUAAAUAAAUCACUGUCACAAAAUA